rnacentral:rRNA from 1 species
GAUGAACGCUGGCGGCGUGCCUAAUACAUGCAAGUCGAGCGAAUGGAUUAAGAGCUUGCUUUUAUGAAGUUAGCGGCGGACGGGUGAGUAACACGUGGGUAACCUGCCCAUAAGACUGGGAUAACUCCGGGAAACCGGGGCUAAUACCGGAUAACAUUUUGAACCGCAUGGUUCGAAAUUGAAAGGCGGCUUCGGCUGUCACUUAUGGAUGGACCCGCGUCGCAUUAGCUAGUUGGUGAGGUAACGGCUCACCAAGGCAACGAUGCGUAGCCGACCUGAGAGGGUGAUCGGCCACACUGGGACUGAGACACGGCCCAGACUCCUACGGGAGGCAGCAGUAGGGAAUCUUCCGCAAUGGACGAAAGUCUGACGGAGCAACGCCGCGUGAGUGAUGAAGGCUUUCGGGUCGUAAAACUCUGUUGUUAGGGAAGAACAAGUGCUAGUUGAAUAAGCUGGCACCUUGACGGUACCCAACCAGAAAGCCACGGCUAACUACGUGCCAGCAGCCGCAGUAA